rnacentral:ncRNA from 2 species
UGGUUCGCCAAAAUAUUUUAUGUUUUGGCGGAGGUGUUUUGCUGAUGGUCGGGCCGCCAUCU